rfam:Lactobacillus johnsonii NCC 533, complete genome.
GCUAAGGAAAGUAAAAACACAAUUCGGUUGGUAGUCCGAAUGUAUGAUUUAUUCAUAUCAGUAACCUUCCCUCCUAGGAUGUCCCUCUUUCCUCUUAUUUUU